AAAACUGAGUCAUUUACUUCAAACCAUUGUACAGUCGUGGCCAAAAGUUUUGAGAAUGACACAAAUAUUAGUUUUCACAAAAGUUUGCUGCUAAACUGCUUUUAGAUCUUUGUUUCUGUGGUUUACUGAAAUAUAAUUACAAGCACUUUAUAUGUUUCAAAGGCUUUUAUCGACAAUUACAUGACAUUUAUGAAAAGAGUCACACUGCAAAAACUGCUUUUCUUACUUCGAUUUUUUUUCUCGUUUCUAUGUGGGCAUGCUCUCAAUCCACUUCUGGGCCAGAUCCUGACUGAUAGCGACCCAUUCUUUCAUAAUCACUUCUUGGAGUUUGUCAGAAUUAGUGGGUUGUUGUUUGUCCACCCGCCUCUUUAGGACUGACCACAAAUUCUCAAUGGGAUUAAGAUUAGGGGAGUUUCCAGGCCAAGGACUCAAAAUUUCAACGUUUUAGUCUCCGAGCCACUUAGAUAUCACUUUUGCCUUAUGGCAAGGUGCUCCAUCAUGCUGAAAAAUGCAUUGUUCUUUACCAAACUGUAGUUUGAUUGUUGGAAGUUGCUGUUGGAGGGUGUUUUGGUACCAUUCUUUAUUCAUGGCUGUGUUUUUGGGCAAAAUCAUAAAUGAGCCCACUCCCUUGGAUGAGAAGAAACCCCACACAUGAAGGAUGUUUUACUGUUAGCAUGACACAGGACUGAUGGCAGCGCUCACCUUUUCUUCUCCGGACAAGCCUUUUUCCAGAUGCCCCAAACAAUUGGACAGGGGCUUCAUCAGAGAAUAUGACUUUGCCCCAGUCUUCAACAGUCCAUUCGCCAUACUGUUUGCAGAAGAUUAAUCUGUCCCAGUGGUUUCUUUGCUGCCCUUCUUGACACUAGGCCAUCUUCCAAAAGUCUUCGCCUUACUGUGUGUGCAGAUGCGCUUACACCUGCCUGCUGCUAUUCCUGAGCAAGCUCUGAUCCCGCAGCUGAAUCCUCUUUAGGAGUCGAUCCUGGCACUUGCUGGACUUUCUUGGACGCCCUGAAGCCUUCUUAACCAGAAUUGAACCUCUUUCCUUGAAGUUCUUGAUGAUCUUAUAAAUUGUUGAUUUAGGAGCAAUCUUACUUGCCACAAUAUCCUUGCCUGUGAAGCCAUUUUUAUGCAAUGCAAUGAUGGCUGCAUGCGUUUCUUUGGAGGUCACCAUGGUUAACAAGGGAAGAACAAUGAUUUCAAGCAUCACCCUUCUUUUAACAUGUCAAGUCUGCCAUUCUAACCCAAUCAGCCUGACAUAAUGAUCUCCAGCCAUGUGCUCAUCAACAUUCUCCCCCGACUUUAACAAGACGAUUACUGAAAUGAUCUCAGCAGGUUGCAUAGCUGAAAUUUCAAGCCCUGUCCUUUAAUGACAGCAAUGAAAUGCAGUUGAUUUCAGGAUUCAGUUAAUUUUCAUGGCAAAGAAGGAGUGUGCAAUUCAUCUGAUCACUCUUCAUAACAUUCUGGAGUAUAUGCAAACUGCUAUUAUAAAAACUUAAGCAGUAACUUUUCCGAUUUCCAAUACUUAUGUAAUUCUCAAAACUUUUGUCCAGGACCAGACAUUCUCCUACUGGAAAAUAUAUAUUUAUAUUGAUUUGUUUUACAAUUAUUAAUUUUGUUUUAUUUUACGUUAAAAACGUAACAAUAAAACAAA
ensembl:lincRNA